rnacentral:lncRNA from 10 species
AUAUGGCAGGUCAAGUCUGCAUUCUGGGAUAAAGUGUUGACACAAUCUUGAAUCAGUGCCUAAGGAGUUCACAAGUCCAGAGAGGGGAUAGCGCAUAGAGAAGAUAAAGCAGAUGUCCAUCCAAAGACUUGUAUGUGAAUGUUCAUAGCAACUUUAUUUGUAAUAGCCAAAACCUGAAAGCAACCCAAAUGUAUGUUAAGAAGCGAAUGGAUACAUAAAUUGUGGCAUAUGCAUACAAUGGGAUACCCAGCAAUAAAAAGGAAUGAACUAUUCAAGUAGGCAACAAAAGAUAAGAGAGCUGAAGAAGAGUGAAAAUAAAGAAACUUCUGCAAAGCCACACAUGUAAAAUAUAUUUCUGGCAACAGUGGAGAAGAAUGAUAGGAAGAGAAUCAUACUGGAAUAGUAUAGUCCUUUGGAAUGUUGUUGUAAUGAAGGCAAGAAGAAAAAUGAUCUUGAAGCAGCCAUAAAGAGCUCCAUUUAUUACAGUAGGAACAGAGGCAACAGCAACAUGGGUGGCUGGCAGUGAUAGAAAGGAUUUUAGUUUUGAUACAUGGAAUUUGACAUGCUUUUUGAAAAUCUUCAGAUGGUGAUGUACAAACUACUGCAGGAACAUAUGAGGAAAGAUGAGAGAAUCCACAGACUCUUUGAAGGAAGCAGAUUGCUCCUGCAGGGCCUGGGAGACAACCAAACACUGGGUCCUUAGGGAGAGGUGCCAGAGGAAUUGGAAAAAGGCCACAGGCAGAAGGAAGGCUCCAGCUAAACUUGAUUGACCCAUCAUUUGGAUGACCCGAAACCACAGAUGCAAUAGAAGAAUGGAACAAAUUUGUACAUUUUGUCAAUAAAAACUUUAUCUUCAGCCCCAGAGUUUAGACACCUAUAUGAAGCUUCCAGGGAUUGCUUUUGCCAGUUUCUCUUCCUGAAAUACUCUCCCUUGAAUAGUUGAAAUGGUCACUCCCUUUCCUAAAAUAUUUCUCCUCAGAGAUAAUUUCCAGCAUCAUCAUCAUCUUAUCAAAAAUGGCACCAUCUGGCAAUAUCUGACCCUUUAUCUCACUUUAUUUUCUUCUAGAGCUGUUAUCAAAACCUCUUUAUUGAUUUGUUUUCUGUCUCCUAAUAUGUAAGAUACUUGAAAAAUGACAUUUUGCUUUUUUCCCGCAAUUUUAACCACAAUUCAAACACCGUAUUCUCAUUAGAUACUUG